GGCGUCGCUAUGGAGACCGCGCACCCCCGCGGCCGGGCGGCGAGGUACCCGGAAAGGCCGACAACAUAAACUGCAUCUGGAUGCGGCUGUUCUGGGAGGAAAAUCCCCCCUGUAGAUCCCCAUCACCCAGCGUGAUGGCCAGAAUUGCAGAGGCGUGUGCUGGGAAGACAUCUGAAAGCAGAAAAUGGUGUUCUCUAGUGUGUAAUAUCAGAAAAAAACACAGCGUUCUGGAUGCCGGCGGUGUCAGACGCAUCUUUGAAUUUCUCUAAGCUAAGUAUGAGCAUAUGCACGGAGCAGCCAUGCCAGAGCCCUGCUCUGAAUGCAGAACAUCCUGACGGCAGCAGAACAGGGCUGAAUUAAUUAAAUGACCCUCGCUGACAGACAGCUAAGGCCCUAAGCAUCAGAUCCCAUGGGGAAACGUCCACUUCUAUCACUUCUACUGUUCACCAACCUCAAAACACUUUAAGGAUCUGUCCACUCAGUAGGAGGGAUCACCAGAAAACAUGGUCAAGUCUUUUCCCCCAAGAUGUCCUCAUUAUAUUUAUAUAUUUGAUCCUCUGCCUGGAUAGGAUCAAUUUACACUACCUGUGUGCAUUGAUUGACAUGCAGAGACCCAAGAACA